UACGUAGGGUGCGAGCGUUGUCCGGAUUUAUUGGGCGUAAAGGGCUCGUAGGCGGCGUGUCGCGUCGGGAGUGAAAGCCCGUUGCUUAACGGCGGGUUGGCUUUCGGUACGGGCAUGCUGGAGUCCGGAAGAGGAGAGUGGAAUUCCUGGUGUAGCGGUGAAAUGCGCAGAUAUCAGGAAGAACACCCGUGGCUAAGGCGGCUCUCUAGUACGGUACUGACGCUGAGACGCGAAAGCGUGGGGAGCGAACAGG
rnacentral:rRNA from 1 species